GUCGGACUGGCGGAAUGGCAGACGCGCUAGACUUAGGAUCUAGUAGGGUAACACCUGUGGGGGUUCAAGUCCCCCGUCCGACA
rnacentral:tRNA from 1 species